rnacentral:rRNA from 1 species
UACGAAGGGGACUAGCGUUGCUCGGAAUUACUGGGCGUAAAGCGCACGUAGGCGGCUUUCUAAGUCGGGGGUGAAAUCCUGGAGCUCAACUCCAGAACUGCCUUCGAUACUGGAGAGCUCGAGUCCGGGAGAGGUGAGUGGAACUGCGAGUGUAGAGGUGAAAUUCGUAGAUAUUCGCAAGAACACCAGUGGCGAAGGCGGCUCACUGGCCCGGUACUGACGCUGAGGUGCGAAAGCGUGGGGAGCAA